GUGUGGCCCCACUUCCGGAGGCGUGGCUCCCGGUGGCCUGGCCACGCCCUUCCCGGAACAGCUCAGAAAAACGUGAAACGGAGUGUUUGGUUGGUGAGAGAAAAAAAUGUUAUCGGUCUUUUCGCCUGCCUUUUAAGCAUUACUUUACGCUUUUCGUCGAACCCAGUCAGAACCUUCCCGAUUAGGUCUGACGUGUCCUGGGAAGAGAGAAGCAUAUAAUCCUUGUUUUACAGAUGGGGAAACUGAGGCCCCGAAAUGGGAGGUGGCUGGUCCAACCUCACGUCAAGUAGAGGGACUUGGGAUACAAGCCCCGAUUGCUGGAGUUGGGGAAACGGAGAAGAGUCAAUGCCCAGCCCUUACUGAGCUUUGUACACGUAUUUGUUAUAUAAUGGAGCCGGAAGUGAAGACGUUCUCCAUAUUCUGUUCAGUGUAGAUGGUGUAGAUGUACUUAAAGGUCUGCCACCUUUCAGAAAGCACUGCACAGCUUUUGGGAUCUAACCCAGGCACCCUGCAGUGGAAGCAUGCAGUCCUAACCAUCGGGCCACCAGGGAAUCCCCUACCUGGUUCUUAGACGAUCCUUGAACUCUCUUUUCCUGAGCCAGGCAGUGUAGUUACUAUUUUCCUGUUUUACAGAGGAAAAAACUGAAGCCCAGACAGCAAAUAACUUGCUCAGGAUCAAUCACACGAGAUCCUCAGUAUUCUCAGCUUUCCCAGGUUGCAGAGGAAGACACUGAGGCUUGGGAGCAGUCAAACGACUCGUCCAAGGUCAUGCACUUGAUGGUCAGUAGAGCUGGGGUUCAAAGCCUGGUCUCCUGACUCCCAGCCCAGUCCAGGGUUCCUUCCACUGUGCUGGGUGCCCCAGGAGGGGAAGGCGGUCAGCAGAUGAGUGCCCCGGGGCACCUCUCUGCCUUCUCUCUCUGUCAUUGCCGUCUAUGGGUUUAGUGAAACCUGUUCUUGAAAGAUCUAUUUAUAGCUUAAAACCGUACCACCACUCAGGAUAAUAAGUCCCUUAAGUUGACUCCCCAUGGUGUAGAUUAAAGAUUCAUUUUAUUUGUCCCAAAUCUUUCUCUGUCAGGAUUAGAGGGGGAGAGGAGGAAGUAGGAAAAGGCCCCAGGCCCAGAACACUUAGAAAACAGGCUCUAGUCCAAGUAGUGUUUGCCUGUUGCUGGCAAUUCCUGAGACCCAGGCAGCAGGUGACAUUUGUGCACACAGCUCAUCUGAUCAGUACAGAGACAUGAGGGGUAGGCAGUGCCUAGAUUUUCAUGUCUUUUAAUCUGCCUUGUUUCCUGUGAGCUUCCCAACACUUAGCACAGUUUUCUGUGCUAAGGCAUCUACUAGAUACUUAUUUGUGAAAUGAUCAAAUGAAUCUCCAUUUUAUGGACAAGGAGACAGAAUAUCAGAAAUCUGGCUAGGAAAACAAGACGGGAGCCAGACAAUUCUAAAGAGGAAAUCUGGGACUUCCUCGGUGAUCCAGUGGCUGGGACUCCACGCUCCCAGUUCAGGGAGCCUAGGUUCAAUCCCUGAUCAGGGAACUAAACUAGAUCCCACAUGCCGCAACUAAGAGUUCACAUGCGACAACCAAAAAGAACCCAGCUAAGACCCGGCGCAGGCCUUCCCUGGUGGCUCAGGGGUAAAGAAUCUGCCUGCCAAUGGAGGAGACACGGGUUUGAUCCCUGAUCUGGGAAGGUCCCACAUGCUUCAGAGCAACUAAACCCAUGAGCCACAAUUAUUGAGCCUGUGCUCUAGAACCCGGGAGCCGAAUCUACUGAGCCUACGCACCACGACUACUGAAGCCUGUGUGCCCUAGAGCCCAUGUUCCGCAACAAGAGAAGCCACCACAGUGAGAAGCAACUAGAGAGUCGCCCUUGCUUGCCGCAACUAGAGAAAAGCCUGUACAGCAACAAAGAAACAGCAUAGCCAGAAAUAAAUAAAUAAAAUUUUAAAAAAGAGACCCAGUGCAGUCAAAUAAAUUUUUAAAAAUAAAUAUUUUAAAAAAGAGGGACUCUAAUCUGGAGGAUUUAGAAACAUAGUUGCUAGAAGGGCUGAAGGAGUGACUAGGGAAAUAGAAAACCUGAGAUUAGCAACACAGGAAGGCCAUGCCCUCCCCAAGGGCCAGCACUGAAAGACAGGAGCUGGCACACCUAGACCAGGAACUGAGGGCCACCCAGAAGAGAGCUGGGACCUCAGGCCUUUCUAGCAGGUUCUGCAGACAUGGAGGAGAGACUCUAGCUUCUGAAGUCAUCCCCUCCUUUCCCUCGAGGCUGAGAGAGCUGGGAUUAGACACUCUGACUUUUCCCUUCAUCUUAUUCUCUGAUCUCUCGCCAAAGCUCCCCAUUGGCUGAACGGAGCCAGAAGCUAAUUAGCAAGGGAGCCCAGGAAACAUGGUUUGCCAUAUGAAGUGGAACAGGAGAAGGGCAGAGAAUGAAUUUGAAAUAAACAGAAAAAUUGACUCAAUAGUUCCAUACCUAGGAUGAGGCCGUGAUAUAUGUGUUGUCAGACAACCUCCCUCCCAACAACUCCAAAUGUUUCUCCUUGGUUCUUCAUCUUUCUACUUCCAGCUUAAGUAUCACCGCCUCCAGGAAGCCUUCCAGGACGCCUUCCCCAUAGUUACUAUCUCCGUAGUGUCAGUUCCCCUAACACACUCUAUGUGUCACUGUCAUAACAUAUACCACAGUGGGAGGUGGUCAGUUACCCAUUGCCCUCCUCAAUAGAUUGAGCCUCUCAAGGCCAGACCUGAGUCUGGUUUCUUUCUCUGUUGGGAAGAAAAGGGAAAGAAAGUGAAGUAGCUCAGUCAUGUCUGACUCUUUGCGACCCCAUGGACUGUAACUUACCAGGCUCUUCUGUCCUUGGGAUUUUCCAGGCAAAAAUACUGGAGUGAGUUGCCAUUUCCUUAAGGAGAUCUUCCUGACCCAGGGAUUAAACCCGGCUCUCCGGGAUCCUAGGCAGACGUUUUACUGUCUAAGCCACCAGGGAAGUCUGUUGGGAAGAAAAUGGUUUUCAAAUGAGUCAGCUCUCUGUAGGGGAGAAGUGGGAUCUGGAGUCAGACCAAACCUAGGCUCCAGAUAUCCCAGAACCUACAUUUAUAUGUUGUAUGACCUUGGACAGCAUUCAUUCCCUCUGAGUCUCAGUUUCCUCAUCUGUAAAAUGGGGACAACAUUAGAAACUUGGAGGAAGGGGUAAGAGGCAGACUCUACAGCAGCCCAGUGAAGCUCAGGCUCUGGGAUCAGACUGUCUAGUCAGCCCCCGUCUCCUCUCUUUUUUAAAAAUUAAUUUAUUUUUAAUUGGGGGAUAAUUGCUUUACAAUAUUGCGUUGGUUUCUGCCAUACAUCAGCGUGAAUCAGCCGUAGGUAUACACAUGUCCUCUCCCUCCCGAACCCCCCUCCCACUUCCCACCGCAUCCCACCCUCUAGGUGGUCACAGAGCACCGGGUUGAGCUCCCUGUGUCAUACAUCCAGUUCCCACCAGGUGUCUAUUUCACGUAUGGCGAUGUAUAUCCCCUGCUCUUCUUUAUGUUGCUUAACUUCCCACAUCUCUGUUCCCUCACUUUUAAGUUAGAGAUGAUGUUCAUACUUCAGGUGGACUCUCUGAGGAUCACACGAAGCUGUGAAUGGGAAGAGUGUGAGUGCUCAGGCAGUGGGCACAGUAGCAUCAGGGUUGGUGCAUGGCCCCGGGGCUGAACACUGACGAGGUAGGUUCUCAGGGAUACACUUCACACAGGACUCUUGUCUAGUGAACCACUGUUGCCCCAUUACCAAGAGCAGUUUCUGGGAGCCUUCCCUGGCGGUCCAGUGGUUAAGACUCUGUCUUGCAAUGCAGGGUACAUAGGUUCAAUCCCUGGUCAGGGAACUAAGAUGCCACCUGCUGUGGGGCAAUCCCUCACACCACAAUGAAAGAUCCUUGCAAAAGGCAAUGAAGAUCCCACGUGCCGCAACUAAGACCCAAUACACCCAAAUAAAUCAAUAAA